rnacentral:rRNA from 1 species
UACGUAGGGGGCUAGCGUUGUCCGGAUUUAUUGGGCGUAAAGAGCGUGUAGGCGGCCAGGUAGGUCUGCUGUGAAAACUCGAGGCUCAACCUCGAGACGUCGGCGGAAACCAUCUGGCUAGAGUCCGGAAGAGGAGAGUGGAAUUCCCGGUGUAGUGGUGAAAUGCGUAGAUAUCGGGAGGAAUACCAGUGGCGAAGGCGGCUUCUUGGCCUGUUCUUGACGCUGAGGCGCGAAAGCUGGGGGAGCAAACGGG